GAGGGUUUAGCUCAGUUGUAGAGUGUGUGCUUUGCAUGCAUGAGGCCCUGAGUUCAAUCCCCAGUACUUCUG
rnacentral:tRNA from 1 species